UUUAGUGACCAAACUGAGAACGCGAAAAGCGCAAGUUGUAUCGCCCCUCUCGUUUCCUAACUUCUGCUCUAAGAAAUCGCAGACUGAGAAAUGAAGAAGAGAGGCUCUCGCAGAGUGAGUCUGCCGAUGGCGUCUCUUGCCGCUCCGAAGGAGACGUCGAUCGUGCUUGACGAGACUCUAAUGCUUUAGUGACUACGACAGCAGCAGCAACGAGAACCAUUCUGAACUCCGUUCACAAAACCCUAUCCUCUGUGCCUGUUGUCUUCUCGCCUCUGGAGAGAACAAUCAUAUAUACUAUAUAGAUCACGCGUCUCCCAUUCUCGCCUCGACACGAUCUAGGACGUAUUGUCUUCUCGCCUCAGCCGAUCUGGAGAGAAAUCUUAUAAAUCGAUCACGCCUCCCAUUCUUGCCUCCACAAAAGCUUGAAGUGUGCAAAAUAUCGAUCACUGAGCUUUCGAAGGUUUUUGUGAAUGAAGUUAAUGGUCUCAAGCAGCAUUUUGAAACUUCAUCAACUUAGGUUCCUCUUGACCAAGGCACCAAGCUAUACUUGCAAAGAGAAAUUUCCCAUUCUCGUCUCCACAACGCUUGAAGGUACUUUUCUCUCUAUAAUUCAAAUGCGACUGGGUAGAUUCUUCCAGCUCUCAUGUGACUUGGAUAAUGAUAUUUUGUUACAAAACAACGUCUCUCUGUUUGGUUGCCAAUUGCCAUCUAAACAGAGGAAAGGACCGAUAUAAUUGAAAUUUGACUGUAACAUUUGAGAAUUUGAAAGUGUAUUAGGCGUCUCAAGUAGAAUGAGAAAUAUUUGAAUUCCAAACAUUUUUAACCCUGCACCAUGUUCAUUGGUUACUUUCUUCAGGGUUUCUUGGCAGCCAAACAGAUUAUUCUAAGAGUAUUUGGUGUCUCAGCCCAUAUAUAUUACGCGACAUUCAAUUUUUUUUAACCGUAUGAUAUUUCAUAGCUAUUUUUCAUUGUGGAUAGUUCAUUGAAUGAUGUAGCCUAUUAUGGUAUUACCCUUAUCUAUCACUGGAAUGGCUUUGUUCUUUAUUUAACUUCCUUUCCUACUAAAUGAAAUCAAGAAACAUUGGGACUGUGAUUAUUUAGACUAAUCCAUAGUUCACAUUAUGAAUAUCAUGUUCUUAAUUCAAUCUUGUUACAUUUUCAAGAGGUAUAAGGUGACAUCUAUUGAACUACAUUGUUUACCGAAUGAAUAACUAUAUGUGCAUUGAGUGUUCUUUGUUUGCUAAUUUCCUAAUCAAAUCCACCAUUGUCGACCAGGCAUGUAGUGUCUAUUUCUAAAUGGAUAUUUUCCAGGCGUAAUGCUUACCUAGUUGACAACUCUGAUUAUUAACAAAUAGUACAUAUGCGAACUUGUUAUUUAAUCCUUUUGUGUGUUGUAUUGUUUACUCUUCAUUCAAUUUUUCACUGCACAAAAUAUCCGUCACUGGGGGGGUUUCGAAGGGUUUUGUCAGUGAAAUUAAUGGUCUCCAGCAGCGUUUUGGAACUUCAUCAACUUAGGUUCAUCGUGACCAAGCUAUGCUAGCAAAGAGAAAUUACUUAGAUUAAAUCGUUGAGUAAAUUGAGCAAUCCACUCUUCGCUUCCUUGUAAAAGUAAUCACAAGAAAAUCAGAACCAAUAAUCACAAAAAUCGAUGGAUACACAUACUAAGAUUUCAAAUUAUUAUAAUUGAAUGGACUGAUAAUAAAAUAAGUGCCCGAUACUCACAUGCUCAU